UACGGGGGGGGCAAGCGUUGUUCGGAAUUACUGGGCGUAAAGGGCUCGUAGGCGGCCCACUAAGUCAGACGUGAAAUCCCUCGGCUUAACCGGGGAACUGCGUCUGAUACUGGAUGGCUUGAGAUUGGGAGAGGGAUGCGGAAUUCCAGGUGUAGCGGUGAAAUGCGUAGAUAUCUGGAGGAACACCGGUGGCGAAGGCGGCAUCCUGGACCAACACUGACGCUGAGGAGCGAAAGCCAGGGGAGCAAACGGG
rnacentral:rRNA from 1 species